ensembl:lncRNA
GUAGCCUGCUAUCACACCAAGCAGCUGUGGCCCGGCAGGGGGGCUAGUUAGCCGCUUAGCCUAGCUAGCCAGCCGGGGAAAGAGAGGAUAUCUUCAGGCCUUCAGCAGACUCAUGAGAACAGACUAGUUGGAGUCGGCUUCCUUCCUGUUUUAGCCACGGUGACACACAAUGGCUGAAUAGUUUCUCAUUGCAGGGCUACUAAACAGUAGAGUUCUGUGCUACUGUUGUCCUGAGAAACAGGACAGCAGAGCUCUCCUGUGGUUCAUCUAAUGGUUUCUGUUAUUCACGGUGGCCUGUUACUGCUAUCCCUACUGAACGUGAUGACACAUUUUUCCUAUGUAGGCCUAUGGAGUUUUUCUUUUUCCUAUGUAGGCCUAUGGAGUUUUCAUUUUUCCUAUGUAGGCCUAUGGAGUUUUUCUUUUUCCUAUGUAGGCCUAUGGAGUUUUCAUUUUUCCUAUGUAGGCCUAUGGAGUUUUCAUUUUUCCUAUGUAGGCCUAUGGAGUUUUCAUUUUUCCUAUGUAGGCCUAUGGAGUUUUCAUUUUUCC